GAUGAAGAACGUAGCGAAAUGCGAUAAGUAAUGUGAAUUGCAGAAUUCAGUGAAUCAUCGAAUCUUUGAACGCACAUUGCGCCCGCCAGUAUUCUGGCGGGCAUGCCUGUUCGAGCGUCAUUACAACCCUCAGGCCCCCGGGCCUGGCGUUGGGGAUCGGCGGAGCCCCCCGUGGGCACACGCCGUCCCCCAAAUGCAGUGGCGGUCCCGUCGCAGCUUCCAUCGCGUAGUAGCUAACACCUCGCGACUGGAGAGCGGCGCGGCCACGCCGUAAAACACCCAACUCUUCUGAAGUUGACCUCGAAUCAGGUAGGAAUACCCGCUGAACUUAAGCAUAUCAAUAAGCGGAGGA
rnacentral:misc_RNA from 1 species